rfam:Schistosoma mansoni strain Puerto Rico chromosome W, complete genome
AUCCAGAUGACGUGUCCCAAAUAGGACGAAACGCGCAUCUUGGAU